GUAGAUAUGUAUAGGGGGAAGGGGACAGGGAUACUGGAGUGAUGGAGGUAGAUAUGUAUAGGGGGAAGGAGACAGGGAUACUGGAGUGAUGGAGGUAGAUAUGUAUAGGGGGAAGGAGACAGGGAUACUGGAGUGAUGGAGGUAGAUGUGUAUAGGGGACAGGGAUACUGGAGUGAUGGAGGUAGAUGUGUAUAGGGGACAGGGAUACUGGAGUGAUGGAGGUAGAUGUGUAUAGGGGACAGGGAUACUGGAGUGAUGGAGGUAGAUGUGUAUAGGGGGAAGGGGACAGGGAUACUGGAGUGAUGGAGGUAGAUAUGUAUAGGGGGAAGGAGACAGGGAUACUGGAGUGAUGGAGGUAGAUGGGGAAGGGGACAGGGAUACUGUAGUGAUGGAGGUAGAUAUGUAUAGGGGACAGGGAUACUGGAGUGAUGGAGGUAGAUGUGUAUAGGGGGAAGGGGACAGGGAUACUGGAGUGAUGGAGGUAGAUAUGUAUAGGGGGAAGGAGACAGGGAUACUGGAGUGAUGGAGGUAGAUGUGUAUAGGGGACAGGGAUACUGGAGUGAUGGAGGUAGAUAUGUAUAGGGGGAAGGGGACAGGGAUACUGUAGUGAUGGAGGUAGAUGUGUAUAGGGGACAGGGAUACUGGAGUGAUGGAGGUAGAUAUGUAUAGGGGACAGGGAUACUGGAGUGAUGGAGGUAGAUAUGUAUAGGGGGAAGGAGACAGGGAUACUGGAGUGAUGGAGGUAGAUAUGUAUAGGGGGAAGGGGACAGGGAUACUGGAGUGAUGGAGGUAGAUAUGUAUAGGGGACAGGGAUACUAGAGUGAUGGAGGUAGAUAUGUAUAGGGGACAGGGAUACUAGAGUGAUGGAGGUAGAUAUGUAUAGGGGACAGGGAUACUAGAGUGAUGGAGGUAGAUAUGUAUAGGGGACAGGGAUACUGGAGUGAUGGAGGUAGAUAUGUAUAGGGGACAGGGAUACUGGAGUGAUGGAGGUAGAUAUGUAUAGGGGGAAGGGGACAGGGAUACUGGAGUGAUGGAGGUUGAUAUGUAUAGGGGACAGGGGACAGGGAUACUGGAGUGAUGGAGGUAGAUGUGUAUAGGGAACAGGGAUACUGG
rnacentral:lncRNA from 1 species